ensembl:lncRNA LOC120099976 uncharacterized LOC120099976
AGCGAAGGUCAGCCCGCCCCCAGCCCUGGCUAGCCAAUCACGGCCUUGGGAGGGGGUCGCAGCUUGCGCGUCAAAAGGGCUCAGGAAGCAACCAUUGCCUUGGCAAAACUGUAAGGCCCGGGGGAGUCUCUAAGCAUCACAAUGGAUCGUGGUAUUGGGCGCUGUGUCGAGGGGCUGAUGACAAAGGGUUUUCUCACUGGGCCCGCUAGAAGGGGGAUUUCUCAACCUCUGGCGGCUGAGAGCGAUACUUCAGAAAUCCAGGCACUACCACAUCUUAACCUAAUCUCUCCCUUGUUUGGGUGGGACAGGUGUCUAUCGCGGUUCCUGAAAGGUGGUGAGUAUUACCAAGGAAUACGUUGUCCAGAGGUCCAGAGAGAAUCCAGGUUUGGGAAUGUGAGUGACAAGGGCUCCACAUCCACUCCAAGCUUCCUGAGGUACAAGCAAUUGUCAAGCUACGGACUCUGAGCUGCGGUCCAAGGGCACCUCCUGGUGGCAAGGAGGGUACCACCUCAAUGGAUUACUGUAUCCCAUUCAACAAAGCAGAGCCGGUUUACAUACAUUGAUGGAUUGAAUGUAUCUCUUAGUAGAGGCACCAGGAUGAUUGUUAGACCAUCCCCAUUGUUGUUAAAAACAGUUCCCCAUUGUGGUAGUUCCAACACCAGCUCCUCCAGUAAAAUAAAGACUUCCUCCACCCAAGCUACUUGGAAACACUUCUUUACCAAAUCCAUGUUUCCCACUCAUUUCAGAAGCCAUUGUCUAAUUGUAAUAACAGACACACUUUUAAAAUUAGAUUUUUUUUUGGUUCUUUUUUUUUUUCGGAGCUGGGGACCGAACCCAGGGCCUUGCGCUUCCUAGGCAAGCGCUCUACCACUGAGCUAAAUCCCCAACCCCAAAAUUAGAUUUUUGUUUGUUUUUCGAGAUAGGGUUUCUCUUGGCUGUCCUGGAACCUCCUCAGGGUCUGCUAUCACCCAACCUUGUACAUUGUAUUUUGGAAUCUGUCCUCUUCCAAAUUCCCUGAGAUCCCACAACUAAUGCUCCACUAACAGUUCCCAUCUUUGUAUACAAUUUCAUUUAACUCCCCCCCUCCCCCCACACACACCUUUUAGACAUGGCCUUUCUAUGUAGUCAAGGCUGUCCAAAAACUUGCUGUGUAACCCAGACUAGCCUUGACCUCACAAUCCUCAGCCUUCCAAGUGCUGGUAAAUACAGGUGUGUG